rnacentral:rRNA from 1 species
UCUAAUACCGGAUAGGAGCGCCNACCGCNUGGUGGGUGUUGGAAAGAUUUAUCGGUUUUGGAUGGACUCGCGGCCUAUCAGCUUGUUGGUGAGGUAAUGGCUCACCAAGGCGACGACGGGUAGCCGGCCUGAGAGGGUGACCGGNCACACUGGGACUGAGACACGGNCCAGACUCCUACGGGAGGCAGCAGUGGGGAAUAUUGCACANUGGGCGCAAGCCUGAUGCAGCGACGCCGCGUGAGGGAUGACGGNCUUCGGGUUGUAAACCUCUUUCAGUANGNAAGAAGCGAAAGAGACGGUNUNUGNNUGAAGAAGCACCGGNUAACUACGUGCCAGAAGCCGCGGUAAUACGUAGGGUGCGAGCGUUAUCCGGAAUUAUUGGGCGUAAAGAGNUCGUANGNGGUUUGUCGCGUCUGUCGUGAAAGUCCGGGGCUUAACCCCGGAUCUGCGGUGGGUACGGGCAGACUAGANUGCAGUAUGGGAGACUGGAAUUCCUGGUGUAGCGGUGGAAUGNGCAGAUNUCAGGAGGAACACCGAUGGCGAAGGCAGGUCUCUGGACUGUAACUGACGCUGAGGAGCGAAAG